UUAGGCCAUUAUCUGCAGCUGAUGAGCUCCAAGAAGAGCAAAAUCCGUUAGGUCCUACAAUGCUGGCCUAAUACACA
rnacentral:hammerhead_ribozyme from 2 species